AACGAACGCUGGCGGCAUGCCUAACACAUGCAAGUCGAGCGCCUGUAGCAAUACAGGAGCGGCGCACGGGUGAGUAACGCGUGGGAACCUGCCCUUAGGUUCGGAACAACCGCGGGAAACUGCGGCUGAUACCGGAUGAUGUCUUCGGACCAAAGAUUUAUCGCCUUUGGAGGGGCCCGCGUCGGAUUAGGUAGUUGGUGAGGUAACGGCUCACCAAGCCUGCGAUCCGUAGCUGGUCUGAGAGGAUGACCAGCCACACUGGGACUGAGACACGGCCCAGACUCCUACGGGAGGCAGCAGUGGGGAGUAUUGGACAAUGGGGGUAACCCUGAUCCAGCAAUGCCGCGUGGGUGAUGAAGGCCUUCGGGUUGUAAAGCCCUUUCGGCGGGGACGAUGAUGACGGUACCCGCAGAAGAAGCCCCGGCUAACUUCGUGCCAGCAGCCGCAGUAA
rnacentral:rRNA from 1 species